GGUGGCGCGGGGCCAACGCGCGCGAGCGUACUCGAGAGAGAGGAAAAUACCAAUGUGUGCGCGCGGGUGCUAACCCUACCUGUGAAUUGACCGAGGGCUCUGCCCCAGGCCCAGGAGCCGCCUCCCCCAUCUUUCCGUCCUGACACAGGCGGAUCUGGAUCAGGCUUCCCUCAUCCCCUACCCUCGUUCAUCCUCCUGCCGGCGGCCAUGGCGACGCGCCCGCCGCUCGUCCGGCCGCCCUUCUCGCCUCGACCCGCUACCCAUGCCCUUCUGGCGCCCCUCUGUAAUCGGCAGUUGAUGCACGCGAGACGCGUCCAUGGAAUCAUGCCGCUCGCCGACGGCAGAUCGAGCGCCGUCGUCGAUCCGCGAGCUCCGUGCCGUUUCCUGGCGGCCAAGAGCACCUUCCGCCAACGGCCAGCAGUGCAUGCAAUCGCCGGCUUGGAUAUUUCAUCCAGCUGACUGCGCCGUGUAGGUCUCUAAGCUUGCAUGGUGUUUCCUAGCUCUGGAGAUCGACAAAUCCAUCUGCGACGAGGAGCUAAUUGCAUACCCAUCCACCGAUUUUAUCCUCUGCAGCCCGCUUGCUAUUUAGAGUUCAUGCUGCUCCUCUCUGCCAUGCCACCGUAGCAGUGGAAGAGAGAUACCCAAAGGAGAGCGCGAGCACGGUGGCAUCAAAUAUGUCGAUGAACAAAGGAUAUAUCCAUGGUAGUUUGGUUGUCACCUGUCGGUGAGCUCUAGACGGGAAGUGACUUUCGACAAGGUGUGCAGUUAUCGUCGGUAGGGGGGAAGCUCGUCUCCAUGGUAGCCGGCGGUGCUCAUGGCGGUCCGUGCCGUUUCCCCUCGUCGUCCGGUGAGAAACAUCUUUUGCCGACGGCCAAAGGUGCAUGGCUGGCAUGGCUGCCCUUUUCGUAGCCAUAUAAUCGGUAGCAGCGCCUGACUUGACACAUCUAUCUAUCCAUCCUCGAGCCUCUACAACCAGGGGGUCAUGACAAUUUGGCGCCGUAGCGGUGGGAGAGCAAUACAAGAAGGAGGUUGCACGGUGGGAUCAAUGUCGACGCAAACGAGCUAUAUGAUGCCCUUUUUGUUAAUUUCUAAAGUAGUGGUUGUCCGCGAGCUCCAGACGAGAAGUAACUUGCUACAAGAUGAACCGGCAAUGGAUGUACGGUGACAGACACACCUCCGAGUACAUUAAGGGCGUGCAUGAUUUUCUCGAAAUGGCUGAGGCAAACAAGCAGAAUGGUUUUAUGUGUUGUCCAUGCCCUACAUGUGGGAAUACGAAGUCUUACUCUGACCGGAAAAUCCUUCAUGCCCACCUGCUUUACAAGGGUUUCAUGCCACACUAUAAUGUUUGGACGAGGCACGGAGAAAUGGGGGUUAUGAUGGAAGACGGCGAAGAAGAAGAGGACGAUGACAACUAUGUGCCCCCUGAAUACGGUGAUGCUGCAACGGGGGAAGCUGCUGAAGAUCAAGAGGAACCAGACGAUGUGCCCAAUGAUGCUGCAAGGGGGGAAGCUGCUGAAGAUGAAGAGGAACCAGUGCCCGAUGAUGAUGAUCUCCGCCGGGUCAUUGUCGAUGCAAGGACGCAAU